rnacentral:rRNA from 1 species
GAUGAACGCUGGCGGCGUGCCUAAUACAUGCAAGUCGAGCGAACGGACGAGAAGCUUGCUUCUCUGAUGUUAGCGGCGGACGGGUGAGUAACACGUGGAUAACCUACCUAUAAGACUGGGAUAACUUCGGGAAACCGGAGCUAAUACCGGAUAAUAUUUUGAACCGCAUGGUUCAAAAGUGAAAGACGGUCUUGCUGUCACUUAUAGAUGGAUCCGCGCUGCAUUAGCUAGUUGGUAAGGUAACGGCUUACCAAGGCAACGAUGCAUAGCCGACCUGAGAGGGUGAUCGGCCACACAGGAACUGAGACACGGUCCAGACUCCGACGGGAGGCAGCAGUAGGGAAUCUUCCGCAAUGGGCGAAAGCCUGACGGAGCAACGCAGCGUGAGUGAUGAAGGUCUUCGGAUCGUAAAACUCUGUUAUUAGGGAAGAACAUAUGUGUAAGUAACUGUGCACAUCUGGACGGUACCUAAUCAGAAAGCCACGGCUAACUACGU